rnacentral:rRNA from 1 species
GGGUCAGUAGGUUGGUCGUGCCACCGGUACGUACUGGUCUCACUGAUCCCUCCUUCCUGAAGAACCGUAAUGCCAUUAAUUUGGUGUUGCGGGGAAACAGGACUGUUACUUUGAAAAAUUUAGAGUGUUUAAAGCAAGCUAACGCUUGAAUACAUUAGCAUGGAAUAAUGAAAUAGGACGAUCAAUCCUAUUUUGUUGGUUUCUAGGAUUGACGUA